UGGGGGCGGUGGGGCGGCGAGAGGGAGAAGUGCAAAAGAAAAAAAUAUCCUUUAAAAAUAAGCAGCAAGGGCUAUAUUCAAAAGGUAAAGUGGACCACCAUUACAAUCACAGAUACCUGUCUCCUAGGGCAAGCACAGCUAGUGCUCAAUACAUUUUUGUUAAAUGAAUUUACAAUCAUUUUUGAGCUUUAAAUUUUUUAUUUUUUUAUUUUUUGCGGUGCCAUAAAUCGAUUCCAGAGUCUCCCCAGUGCUAGGCAAACACCCUAUCAUUGAACUACACCUCCAGUAUUUUUAAUUCAAGAGAAUUUUUACUUCGAGUGUUAAUUAUAAAAGUCAGACUUUAGUUGGACAGAGAGGGGUCCACAUUACCGUAAAUCUGGCUACUGCUCUGCCCCCUGAUGGUGGCCCAACACCUAGCAAGACAACUUAUCAACUACGGUGUUUCCAGAUUGGCGACUCAAUCAUUUACAUACCCACAAUGCUUUGCACAUAGGACAUUUCCUAAAUUAAAACGGGAAGACUUUUCUUCUUCUAUUUUUUAUUUCUUCUCUUGUUAAAUACGUUUUUUUUCUCCAGAAUUUUCCAGGAUAACCAUAGAAAUCAUCAGCUCUCUUGUGUAGAUAGUUACCAUUGCUGUUCUAGUAGUUACGGUUACUGGAGGACUGUACACCAGAGAAUGGAGGUAUACUCUGGUUUCUCUUCAGAUCGUAUAAAUCUUUCGCCUUUUACUAAAGAUUUCCGUGGAGAGGAACAAUUCUGAGUCUUAACCCAAUUUUUUGAGGCCCUGCACUUGUAGGGCUAAUUAAUUGUUUGUAAAGAUAGAUUUCUUUAUUGUUCGUUGAGUAUGCGUUGGUUAUUGGUAUUUAACCAGACCCAAGCCAUUUCCAUAUUGAAUGUCCAGUUAGCCUCAUUUGCUUCCCGGGUAUGCUUUACCUGAGUUAUGUCAUUAGAGACUCAUUUAUUUUUAAGUUAUAGGUA
rnacentral:lncRNA from 1 species